AAUGGGCUGUGCAGCCCUGGCACAGGUGCCCAGGGCAUGGGGGAGUCCCCAUCACUGCAGGGAUUUAAAAACCAGGUGGAUGUGGCACCUGGGGACAUGGAUCAGUGGUGGCCGUGGCAGUGCUGGGGCGCGGUUGAACUUGAUGAUCUUGGAG